AGAACGAACGCUGGCGGCAUGCCUAAUACAUGCAAGUCGAACGAACACUUCGGUGUUAGUGGCGCACGGGUGCGUAACGCGUGGGAAUCUGCCCUUGGGUUCGGAAUAACAGUUGGAAACGACUGCUAAUACCGGAUGAUAUCGAAAGAUCAAAGAUUUAUCGCCCAGGGAUGAGCCCGCGUAGGAUUAGCUAGUUGGUGAGGUAAAGGCUCACCAAGGCGACGAUCCUUAGCUGGUCUGAGAGGAUGAUCAGCCACACUGGGACUGGAGACACGGCCCAGACUCCGUACGGGAGGCAGCGAGUAGGGAAUAGUUGGACAAGUCGGGCGACGAAGCCUGA
rnacentral:rRNA from 1 species